rnacentral:rRNA from 1 species
CGGACGGGUGAGUAACACGUGGGAACGUGCCCUUUGGUUCGGAACAACUCAGGGAAACUUGAGCUAAUACCGAAUGUGCCCCCUCCCUUAAUCAGGAGGGUGGGAAAGAUUUAUCGCCAUUGGAGCGGCCCGCGUCUGAUUAGCUAGUUGGUGGGGUAAAGGCCCACCAAGGCUACGAUCAGUAGCUGGUCUGAGAGGAUGAUCAGCCACACUGGGACUGAGACACGGCCCAG